GAUGAACGCUGGCGGUAUGCUUAACACAUGCAAGUCGAACGGACUCUUCGGAGUUUUUCUCGGACGAGGGUGUAACGCGUGAGAAUCUUGCUUUGUGGUCGGCCCAACUACUGGACUCGGUUGCCAAUACCAGAUGUGCCCAAAUGUAGAAUAGAAAUUUCAUGAAGAUGAGCUAGCGUCUGAUGAGCUAUUUGGUGUGGUAAAUGCUCACCAAGGCAGCGAUCAGUCGCUUGUCUGGGAGGAUGACCGGCCACACUGGGAAUGAGACGCGGCCCAGACUAAUAUGGGAGGCAGCAGUGGAGCAUUUUGCGGCAUGGGCGAAAGACUGACGGAGCAAUACCGCGUGAGGGAAGAAGGCUUUUGGGUUGUAAACAUCUUUAAUUAGCGAAGAACAAAAUGACGGUACCUAAGGAAUCAGCAUCGGCUAACUCCGUG
rnacentral:rRNA from 1 species